GGAGGAGUCGCAUAACGGUAUUGCAAAGGAUUGCUAAUCCUUGCCCUUUCGGGGGCCUGUGGGUUCGAUUCCCACCUCCUCCG
rnacentral:tRNA from 1 species